rnacentral:lncRNA from 1 species
UUUUCUGCACCAAAGGCCUUGUAAGGCCUUUUAACAUGGUGGGAAUUUUACCUCCCAACUGGACAUCAAAAGCAUGCAGAAUGAUUAUGAGAGAUCAAAAGGAUUUGAGUCUGACUGUUGUAGGUUCAACAUUCUGGUACCAGAUGAUAUAGGAUUUGAGUCUGACUGUUGAAGAUUCAACAUUCUGGUACCAGAUGAUAUAACUAUGCCUCAAUUGGCUGUGCAAAACCGAAUCGAACGGAUGGCUUAUUGGUAUCGGAUUAUCGGGAUAAUGGAUGGAGAAUGAAUUGAAAUUUUAUACUUAACGGCUUAACGGUUUGGGGGCGGAUUAAUCAAUUUUUUUU